rnacentral:rRNA from 1 species
GACGAACGCUGGCGGCGUGCUUAACACAUGCAAGUCGAGCGGAAAGGCCCUUUCGGGGGUACUCGAGCGGCGAACGGGUGAGUAACACGUGAGUAAUCUGCCCUUGGCUUUGGGAUAACUACCGGAAACGGUGGCUAAUACCGGAUACGACCACUCCUUGCAUGAGGUGGUGGUGGAAAGUUUUUUCGGCCAGGGAUGUGCUCGCGGCCUAUCAGCUUGUUGGUGGGGUAAUGGCCUACCAAGGCUUCGACGGGUAGCCGGCCUGAGAGGGUGACCGGCCACACUGGGACUGAGACACGGCCCAGACUCCUACGGGAGGCAGCAGUGGGGAAUAUUGGACAAUGGGCGGAAGCCUGAUCCAGCAACGCCGCGUGAGGGAUGACGGCCUUCGGGUUGUAAACCUCUUUCAGUACCGACGAAGCGCCGAUGAUGGUGGUGACGGUAGGUACAGAAGAAGCACCGGCCAACUACGUG